rnacentral:snRNA from 1 species
CUGUUAUCAUACAGCACAGAUACUAAAAUUGGAAUGAUACAGAGAAGAUUAGCAUGGCCCCUGCACAAGGAUGACAUGCAAAUUUGUGAAACACCCCAUAUUUUU